rnacentral:lncRNA from 10 species
AUUGUUGUUUUUGUUUCAAACAAAUAGUGCUCACAGUACUUAUUAUUUAUUAAUUUAGCAAACACUGACUUUUUUCUAGAUUCUUAGCAUUCUUCUGAGAGAAAACAUGACUGAACAAGACAGAGCUCAUGUUACAGAGUGUUAAAGGAGCACAAGUUUUUUUAAAAGAAUAUUGAAGAGGACCUGAGCAAAGACUUGAAGGAGACAGUGACGACAAGAAGAACCAAGGGGCAACAGAAGCAGAGAUUGAAGUUGUGUAUCAAUAAGCCAAGAAACAGCAAGGAUUGCCAGCAACAGCAAGAGCUGAAAGAAAGAAAUAGGAACCAAGUCUCCCCCAGACCCUUCAGAGAGAGCAUGGCUCAACUGAUGCUUAGAUUUCAUACUUAUUUCUGACCUCAAGAAUUUGAGAGAAUAAAUUUCUACUGUUUUAAGC